rnacentral:rRNA from 1 species
UUAAGCGACUAAGCGUACACGGUGGAUGCCCUGGCAGUCAGAGGCGAUGAAGGACGUGCUAAUCUGCGAUAAGCGUCGGUGAGGUGAUAUGAACCGUUAUAACCGGCGAUUUCCGAAUGGGGAAACCCAGUGUGUUUCGACACACUAUCAUUAACUGAAUCCAUAGGUUAAUGAGGCGAACCGGGGAACUGAAACAUCUAAGUACCCCGAGGAAAAGAAAUCAACCGAGAUUCCCCCAGUAGCGGCGAGCGAACGGGGAGGAGCCCAGAGCCUGAAUCAGUGUGUGUGUUAGUGGAAGCGUCUGGAAAGGCGCGCGAUACAGGGUGACAGCCCCGUACACAAAAUGCACAUGCUGUGAGCUCGAUGAGUAGGGCGGGACACGUGGUAUCCUGUCUGAAUAUGGGGGGACCAUCCUCCAAGGCUAAAUACUCCUGACUGACCGAUAGUGAACCAGUACCGUGAGGGAAAGGCGAAAAGAACCCCGGCGAGGGGAGUGAAAAAGAACCUGAAACCGUGUACGUACAAGCAGUGGGAGCCUCUUUAUGGGGGUGACUGCGUACCUUUUGUAUAAUGGGUCAGCGACUUAUAUUCUGUAGCAAGGUUAACCGAAUAGGGGAGCCGAAGGGAAACCGAGUCUUAACUGGGCGUUAAGUUGCAGGGUAUAGACCCGAAACCCGGUGAUCUAGCCAUGGGCAGGUUGAAGGUUGGGUAACACUAACUGGAGGACCGAACCGACUAAUGUUGAAAAAUUAGCGGAUGACUUGUGGCUGGGGGUGAAAGGCCAAUCAAACCGGGAGAUAGCUGGUUCUCCCCGAAAGCUAUUUAGGUAGCGCCUCGUGAAUUCAUCUCCGGGGGUAGAGCACUGUUUCGGCAAGGGGGUCAUCCCGACUUACCAACCCGAUGCAAACUGCGAAUACCGGAGAAUGUUAUCACGGGAGACACACGGCGGGUGCUAACGUCCGUCGUGAAGAGGGAAACAACCCAGACCGCCAGCUAAGGUCCCAAAGUCAUGGUUAAGUGGGAAACGAUGUGGGAAGGCCCAGACAGCCAGGAUGUUGGCUUAGAAGCAGCCAUCAUUUAAAGAAAGCGUAAUAGCUCACUGGUCGAGUCGGCCUGCGCGGAAGAUGUAACGGGGCUAAACCAUGCACCGAAGCUGCGGCAGCGACACUAUGUGUUGUUGGGUAGGGGAGCGUUCUGUAAGCCUGUGAAGGUGUACUGUGAGGUAUGCUGGAGGUAUCAGAAGUGCGAAUGCUGACAUAAGUAACGAUAAAGCGGGUGAAAAGCCCGCUCGCCGGAAGACCAAGGGUUCCUGUCCAACGUUAAUCGGGGCAGGGUGGAGUCGACCCUAAGGCGAGGCCGAAAGGCGUAGUCGAUGGGAAACAGGUUAAUAUUCCUGUACUUGGUGUUACUUGCGAAGGGGGGACGGAGAAGGCUAUGUUGGCCGGGCGACGGUUGUCCCGGUUUAAGCGUGUAGGCUGGUUUUCCAGGCAAAUCCGGAAAAUCAAGGCUGAGGCGUGAUGACGAGGCACUACGGUGCUGAAGCAACAAAUGCCCUGCUUCCAGGAAAAGCCUCUAAGCAUCAGGUAACAUCAAAUCGUACCCCAAACCGACACAGGUGGUCAGGUAGAGAAUACCAAGGCGCUUGAGAGAACUCGGGUGAAGGAACUAGGCAAAAUGGUGCCGUAACUUCGGGAGAAGGCACGCUGAUAUGUAGGUGAAGCGACUUGCUCGUGGAGCUGAAAUCAGUCGAAGAUACCAGCUGGCUGCAACUGUUUAUUAAAAACACAGCACUGUGCAAACACGAAAGUGGACGUAUACGGUGUGACGCCUGCCCGGUGCCGGAAGGUUAAUUGAUGGGGUUAGCGGUAACGCGAAGCUCUUGAUCGAAGCCCCGGUAAACGGCGGCCGUAACUAUAACGGUCCUAAGGUAGCGAAAUUCCUUGUCGGGUAAGUUCCGACCUGCACGAAUGGCGUAAUGAUGGCCAGGCUGUCUCCACCCGAGACUCAGUGAAAUUGAACUCGCUGUGAAGAUGCAGUGUACCCGCGGCAAGACGGAAAGACCCCGUGAACCUUUACUAUAGCUUGACACUGAACAUUGAGCCUUGAUGUGUAGGAUAGGUGGGAGGCUUUGAAGUGUGGACGCCAGUCUGCAUGGAGCCGGCCUUGAAAUACCACCCUUUAAUGUUUGAUGUUCUAACGUUGGCCCCUGAUCGGGGUUGCGGACAGUGUCUGGUGGGUAGUUUGACUGGGGCGGUCUCCUCCUAAAGAGUAACGGAGGAGCACGAAGGUUGGCUAAUCCUGGUCGGACAUCAGGAGGUUAGUGCAAUGGCAUAAGCCAGCUUGACUGCGAGCGUGACGGCGCGAGCAGGUGCGAAAGCAGGUCAUAGUGAUCCGGUGGUUCUGAAUGGAAGGGCCAUCGCUCAACGGAUAAAAGGUACUCCGGGGAUAACAGGCUGAUACCGCCCAAGAGUUCAUAUCGACGGCGGUGUUUGGCACCUCGAUGUCGGCUCAUCACAUCCUGGGGCUGAAGUAGGUCCCAAGGGUAUGGCUGUUCGCCAUUUAAAGUGGUACGCGAGCUGGGUUUAGAACGUCGUGAGACAGUUCGGUCCCUAUCUGCCGUGGGCGCUGGAGAACUGAGGGGGGCUGCUCCUAGUACGAGAGGACCGGAGUGGACGCAUCACUGGUGUUCGGGUUGUCAUGCCAAUGGCACUGCCCGGUAGCUAAAUGCGGAAGAGAUAAGUGCUGAAAGCAUCUAAGCACGAAACUUGCCCCGAGAUGAGUUCUCCCUGAGACUUAGAGUCUCCUGAAGGAACGUUGAAGACGACGACGUUGAUAGGCCGGGUGUGUAAGCGCAGCGAUGCGUUGAGCUAACCGGUACUAAUGAACCGUGAGGCUUAACCUU